UACGUAGGGUGCAAGCGUUGUCCGGAAUUAUUGGGCGUAAAGAGCUCGUAGGCGGUCUGUCGCGUCGGAUGUGAAAAUCCAGGGCUCAACCCUGGACCUGCAUUCGAUACGGGCAGACUAGAGUUCGGCAGGGGAGACUGGAAUUCCUGGUGUAGCGGUGAAAUGCGCAGAUAUCAGGAGGAACACCGGUGGCGAGGGCGGGUCUCUGGGCCGAUACUGACGCUGAGGAGCGAAAGCGUGGGGAGCGAACAGG
rnacentral:rRNA from 1 species